rnacentral:rRNA from 1 species
CCUACGGGUGGCUGCAGUGAGGAAUAUUGGUCAAUGGGCGGGAGACUGAACCAGCCAAGCCGCGUGAGGGAUGAAGGUACAGAGUAUUGUAAACCUCUUUUGCCAGGGAACAAAGGCGGGGACGUGUCCCCGGAUGAGUGUACCUGAAGAAAAAGCAUCGGCUAACUCCGUGCCAGCAGCCGCGGUAAUACGGAGGAUGCGAGCGUUAUCCGGAUUUAUUGGGUUUAAAGGGUGCGCAGGCGGGCUGUUAAGUCAGUGGGAAAAACACGGGGCCAAACCCCGGCCCGCCGUUGAAACUGGCAGUCUCGAGUUGGAGAGAAGUAUGCGGAAUGCGCGGUGUAGCGGUGAAAUGCAUAGAUAUCGCGCAGAACUCCGAUUGCGAAGGCAGCAUGCCGGCUCCACACUGACGCUGAGGCACGAAAGCGUGGGUAUCGAACAGGAUUAGAUACCCCAGUAGUC